rnacentral:lncRNA from 1 species
CAGUGUUCACUGUCAUCUUGUAGGUCUUCCUUGUCCUCAUGACGUGUAGAGCAUGGGAUAUGGGUUCAAGAAGAGAGAAUGGGAGUUCCUGUCAUGGCUCAGCAGCUAAUGAACCCGUCUAGCAUCCAUGAGGAUGCAGGUUUGAUCCCUGGCCUUGCUCCCUGGGUUAAGGAUCCCAUGUUGCCGUAAGCUGUGGAGUAGGUCCAGAGGUCAGAUGCCGUGUUGCUGUGGCUGUAGUGUAGGCCAGCAGCUACAGUUCUGAUUGCACCCCUAGCCUAGGAACCUCUAUAUGCCGUAGGUGUGGCCCUAAAAAGACAAAAAAAAAAAAAAAAAAAGACAAGACAGAAUGGCAUUGGGUUUUAUAGAAGGCUGCACAACAAUCAUAAGGAUUAUGGUUUCUGCUACUCGGCAACGUAAACUCUGUUCAAUUCUCUAACCACCAACACACACACACACACACAAACACACAAUUCCUCUUGUAACUUGUAACAUGGGCCAUAGGGCCAAUAAUUAACUCCUAAUGGAGUUUCUGUAAGAUAACAUUGAUCUCAAAGUAUAUAUGGAAUUAAAUAAGAUCACUAAUCUAUUUACCAAUAAUCUCUGGCAUUUGAAACUCUAAAUAAAGUUUAUAAAAUCUUUAAUUAUUUUAAUACAUUAUUUUUUCCCUACUACACCAUAGUGGUUAAAAUUUCCUUUAGAAUUCUCUUUGGUUAUCCAUCCUGAAAUUUUAGAAGGAAAAUCUAGGAGUGAAGGUAAUUCUUCUCCAUAUUUUUCCUUUUGCCAAACUGUAUUUAAAAAUCACUCACACACACACACACACACUCUCUCUGUCUCUCUCUCCUUUUCAGUAUUAAUAGGAUUCUCAUUCAACUGAUAAGAAUUAAGUUGCUAACAAUGUGCCAGACACUUCCUUUACCUUCUGAGGUUUUUCAGGCCAUUACAUGAGAAAAGAUACCUGCAUUAUCCUGCUGCUCUAACAGGUGGAAAUAUUGAAAUGCAAAGAAAUUGUAUUUGUGAUACCACCUCCCUACCUAUCCAGGCAAAUAUCCUUUCAUCAUAAUUGACCCCCAACUCUGUCUCCUACCUCAACACACACACAUAUUCACACACACAGCCACCUGCCCUUCUGACCUACGCAGACAGUCUAUUAGAAUGUGCGAGAACAUUGUAAAUGGAUCUUUGCUAUCUUAAACUUCCUGCUACCUGAAAGCUUCCCAGUUAUGAAUUCUUCAUGUGUCAGCUGAAAUGCCAGGUAUGCUUCCACUAUGAUGAGCUCUCUGAUUCACUUAGGCAUUUUCGGGUCUCCAUUUCCCAGGGAUAUUCUUCCUUUUUUAUAAUCCUGCCUAUUCAUAUUUCCCUUUUUAUAGGAAUUAUAUGUAACCAUUACGGUCCUCCCCAAUAGACGAAGCUUCAAAUCGAGGGCAUAUUAUGGUAGGUACUUAAUGUGUGUGAUAAACAAACCAAUCGUAUACCCAGGGUCACAGGAGUGUAACUCAAGCUUGCACCAUUUCAGUUUUGUUCUAAUUACUCUAUCAGAAAGACCAUGACUUCAAAUUCUCACACUGACUCCUUCCUUUUCAACAGAUGUUUUCUCUCCACUAAGAGGGACCUACUGUUAGGAGGAGAAAGAGUCCCUGGUCUCAUACGAUAAUUCUUCACUUGCUGGAGAAGCUUAUGAUCAGGUCCUGGAUCACAUGUAAUGUUACUGACCUUUACUGCCUCUAUUCUGAAUGAUCACAGGAAUUGUCUAUAGAAUUAGAUCAACCCAAAACAGAAUACUAUUUAUUUAGUUCCUACAUACAUUCUGGGGGAUUAGUAGUAGUAGCAUUUAAUGUAUCAUUUUCUUGCUUCCUUCCUAAACAAUGAUCACUUACUUAUGUUAGUGCAUAAAUAAAUAGAAUGAUUAAAGAGUAAAAUGACAUCUCAUUCUGCUUUUUGUCCAAGCACUAACAAAUCCUAAACUAUGGCUUUAUUUUUAAUCUAUUGUUUCGAUACUAGUGGAAGACAAAAGUUGAAAUUACUGAUAAGCUCAUAAUUAUCUUCCUUUCAGUAUUGAUAUCUUGAUAACUACAUAUUUAGGUAAAUCAAGUUAUACUUGACCAGGAUAGACUUAUGACCCACGAUGUGCCAAUAAAGUCCCUGCCACCUACAGAGACUGGUUCAAACUAUCGGCGUGAAAGUCAUGAAACUCUAGCCAGGCCAAUCACGUUCUGUUCUCCCGGGGUAGAAAAAGGCUAUUUGUAUUUGAGCAAAAAUGUUUAUCUGUCUACAUUUGUUUUGGAGAGAGACUGUAGGUAAAAAGUGGAAAAGAGAGAGAGGAGAAAAAGGAGAGAGAAACAAGAAAAUGACAAAGCUGUUGUUUUUGGUAUGCCUGAUGUACCACUCCCACCCUUUCCUAGGUAAUAGCAAAAUAAACAACAAAAUCCCCCCUUUAGAUCAUAAUGGCAGAAACCAAACUGUGUAACUUUGUUACACAGUGACACAGUGUGGUCUGUGGACCAGAAACCAUGACGUCACUUCCAAGGUCUCUAUGGAAGAGUUUUGCUUUCAGGCUCCACUUCAAACUUGCUAAACCAGAACCUGUAUUUGAAAUUUUCAUGUAAAGAAAAUCCCCUGGUCUUUUAUAUGCACAUGAAUGAUUGAGAAACACUGGUUAUCACCGCAUUGUUGCCCACUCCCUGUGUUAAAUUCUCACUGACUUUUUUCAAACUUCCUCAACAUUUCUGACCAUAGAACAAAUACUGUUCUCCCACCUGGAAAAGACUUUUCUAUUCCUCUUCACCUGGUUCACUUAUCUUUAAACCUUCGAUCUCAGUUCAAGCAUCAUUGUUUUUUUUCCCAUAAGCAUCUUUCUGACUAGGUUAGAGUCCCUAUUAUACAUGUUUAUAAUAUGCGAGACUUUCAAGUACAUAUAAUGCAUAUUAGCUUCAUGAUCCAUUGUGGAAAACAUUUUUUUUUCUUACAUUGUGUCCUCAGUACCUAGAUUUGUACAUACCAUAUUCUCAGUAUAUACUUGUCAAAUGAAUGAAUUCAGGGAUGAAUGAUGGAAAUGUUUUAUAAAUAAAUAAGCCUGAUGCUCAGAGAAAUUGAAUGAUUAACCUAAAGUCAUCUAAAAAAGUGGUAGGUCUGUGUUUAUAAUCAGGUUCCUGCCCUGAUGGCUCAUAAUGGUAUUUUUGAAUUUUCUUUAUUCCUACAAUUUGUUCACCCAACCUGAGAAAAGUCAGAAACAGAACAGAUGCCAGAUGGGAAUAAACCCACCUUGAAAAUCCAUAGAAAUAAGAGGAACUCAUUAAAGGACUUUCUUUUCUUUAAUCAGAGAGACUGACAAAUAUUAUACUGCUGAAUGGGUAGCUUGGCUAACACAAGCAUAUCCAUUAUGAAAUGAUUACACUUUUGUUUGGAUGCCAACUUCUUUGACAAAAGAAAAAAAUAAAAUGUAAUGGACCAAAGUGAGCCUGCAGGAGCUGACAGCUUCCUUCUUUUUUUUUUUUUUUUUUUUUUUUUUUAGGGCCGCACCUGCAGCAUAUGGAGGUUCCCAGGCUAGGGGUCAAAUCGGAGCUACAGCUGCCAGCCUACACUACAGCCACAGCAACACCAGAUCCGAACCACAUCUGCGACCUACACCACAGCUCAUGGCAAAGCCGGAUCCUUAACCCACCGAGCUAGGCCAGGGAUCGAACCUGCAACUUCAUGGGUCCUAGUCGGAUUUGUUCCCUCUGCGCUACCCCGGGAACUCCCGGAUCUGACAGCUUCUGACCAACUGACAAGUAGCGAGUUGCCAGCAAGUAGAAACUCCUUGGGUACUCAGCUAAUAUGUUCUCCAUCCCUGGUAGAUCUUCCAGAUAUAGAAUGAGCCUCAAUUUAUCAAAAUAAAUUUUAUGGCAUUUCCAUUUGGGUGUGCAAUGCAGUUCUUAUGACUGGAAGGCUUUUAUCAGCAGCCCAAUACAGGGAAGGGGCUUGUGGAAAUUUAAAGCAAUUGUCAUUCUGGCAUGCCUUGGAAUAAGGUGGACUAGAGUUGAAAGUCCCUGUGUGUGUAUUUAUGUAUGCGUAUGGAUGUAUGUAUCCAUCUACCCAUCUAACUGUUUCUGCAGCUCAUGUGAACAGCUCCUAUACUAUUAAACUGGUCAUCUGGCCCUAUACCUUCCAAAUUCACCAUUUCUGAUGAUUUGUUCCUAGGCAUUCCUACCCUUAUUAUGGUCAGUAUCCCAGACAAUGUCUCCUUUCCCAUCUUAGACCCACCCACCCCUGACUAUUUACUGAAGUGUUUAUUGGUGUCCUAGCUUUCGAAUUUGCUAUUUCGGUAUCACAAUAAGAGUUCUGUGUCUGUGUGUUUCUUUGAACUUGGAUAUUGUGCCACUAAUACUGCUCUCAAAAGCUUUCUUUAGGCAUGACUAAAUGUCUGUCAUUUUUUGAUUUAUUUAUUCAAACCCUCACUUUGUGCAUACAAGAUACCAGAUACUGAUAGAUGCUGAAGAUGAAGCAGCACUCUUGCUCAUGUGCAUGUAAUUAAAUUGUGUUUAAUAUACAUUAUUACAUAAUUAUAAUUCAAUGAGGUAUUUCUAUGGGGACAGAGAUUGCCUCUGGUAUGUUCAGUAAAGGCCUCAAAAGACCUAUGCCUGGAGUUCCCGUCAUGGCUCAGUGGUUCACGAACCCAACUAAGAACCAUGAGGUUGCAGGUUCGAUCCCUGGCUUCGCUCAGUGGGUUAAGGAUCCAGCAUUGCCGUGAGCUGCAGGUCGCAGAUGUGGCUUGGAUUCCGAGUUGCUGUGGCUGUAGGCUCCGAUUAGACCCCCUAGCCUGGGAAUGUCCAUAUGCCAGGGGUGCAGACCUAGAAAAGAAAUCCCAUGCCGGACCCAGAACCCUUUUUAAGUACCUGCUACUUUCUUGGCUUUGUAUCACCUCUGUCCCCAUGUCAUCCAUGGCUCUUUAAAUUUGGGGCAAACCAUUGGGUCCACCUAUGCCUUCCCCCUCCCACUUUUUGCUUACUUCUACCCAUAAGUUUCCAGAAAUAGGAAAUUAGAACAUUCUGCUCUGUUUGUAACUCUCACCAGAUAUCAAGUAUCUGGAUGGAAAUGACUGUUUAAUUCAUCUUUAUAACCCUUGUAUCUAAUCCUGUGUCUCCAUUCAAUAGUAUUUGGUAAAUGUUGAACUCACUGGCUCAUUUGAUAAAUGAAAGGCAAGUUUUAAGUGUCAUUUUCUGCAACCAGAACUCAAAAUAGGAUUAACUUUGUCAUCCCUCAGAAAUGAAGCCAUUUCUAACAUGCCUUUCAGUAAU